AGCUGCCCUCUUGCCGUGUUCAUGCUUUGGUAGAACACCUUCAGAGCCUUGGCAAGCUCUCGGUCAGAGCCGGCUUGCUGUGUGCACAUUUGGCUCAUCUCCCUGGCGGAUGGCAGUUGCACAGUCAUCCCGCCGAUCUUCAGAGUGUUGGAAGGCUUCAGGGCUGAGGUGGAAAAAGGAUGUGGCCUUCACCUGUGACCCUGAGGCCCAGCUGAGAGCAGCUCAGCUCGGUGCAGCCUUCUGUAAUGGGGAGAGACACAGUCAAAGAAAGAAACAUCCCAGUCGCCCAGCUCCAGUGUCAGCUUCAUGCAGUAGGCCAGCGACUGGAGCCAGAUGUGAGCUGAGCCCAAACAGACGACCUCGACAGGAUCCCAGAAAGGGUCGUCUUCUCGAGCCACAGGGCCGUGAUCUCCAUCUAGAAAGCGCUGGUAAAGUUCCUGCAUUAGGAAUUUCCUAUUGAUGAACUUGGCUUUUGACCAUAUCCACACCUGGAAACACAGAGGAAAGCAGAGAGACAGAGUGUGAAAUCGCUGCUCUCAGAUCAGCACACGGGAGAGGCCAGCAGUCAGGAGGGGGCUCACCGAGUUUGUCUGCA
rnacentral:lncRNA from 1 species